UACGGAGGGUGCAAACGUUGCUCGGAAUCAUUGGGCGUAAAGGGCUCGUAGGUGGCCAACUAAGUCAGACGUGAAAUCCCUCGGCUUAACCGGGGAACUGCGUCUGAUACUGGAUGGCUUGAGUGUGGGAGAGGGAUGCGGAAUUCCAGGUGUAGCGGUGAAAUGCGUAGAUAUCUGGAGGAACACCGGUGGCGAAGGCGGCAUCCUGGACCAUUACUGACACUGAAUAGCGAAAGCCAGGGGAGCAAACGGG
rnacentral:rRNA from 1 species